ACCUCGACUUUAGCACUGUUCUUGGUAUGAUAUUAGAAAGUGCUACCAAGUGGAGGUGU
rnacentral:pre_miRNA from 1 species